rnacentral:rRNA from 1 species
AACGUAGGAGACAAACGUUAUCCGGAGUUACUGGGCGUAAAGGGCGUGUAGGCGGUUUGUUAAGUCUGGCGUGAAAGCUCUCGGCUAAACCGGGAGAGGUCGUUGGAUACUGGCAAACUUGAGGACGGUAGAGGCGUGUGGAAUUCCGGGUGUAGUGGUGAAAUGCGUAGAGAUCCGGAGGAACACCAGUGGCGAAGGCGACACGCUGGGCCGUACCUGACGCUAAAGCGCGACAGCAUGGGGGGCAAACGGGG